rnacentral:rRNA from 1 species
UUUAUGGAGAGUUUGAUCCUGGCUCAGGAUGAACGCUGGCGGCGUGCCUAAUACAUGCAAGUCGAGCGAACAGACGAGGAGCUUGCUCCUCUGACGUUAGCGGCGGACGGGUGAGUAACACGUGGAUAACCUACCUAUAAGACUGGGAUAACUUCGGGAAACCGGAGCUAAUACCGGAUAAUAUAUUGAACCGCAUGGUUCAAUAGUGAAAGACGGUUUUGCUGUCACUUAUAGAUGGAUCCGCGCCGCAUUAGCUAGUUGGUAAGGUAACGGCUUACCAAGGCAACGAUGCGUAGCCGACCUGAGAGGGUGAUCGGCCACACUGGAACUGAGACACGGUCCAGACUCCUACGGGAGGCAGCAGUAGGGAAUCUUCCGCAAUGGGCGAAAGCCUGACGGAGCAACGCCGCGUGAGUGAUGAAGGUCUUCGGAU